GUCCUCCCGGGCGCCCCUCCAGCCAAGUCUCUUGCUUUGUCAGCACGUGUGAGCCCACUCUAGGGCCCUGCAGAGGGUUCCCCUUCCUGCAACGGCGGUCUUCACGGUGCAACUGCAGGCAGAGGAGCCCAUGAACAUUCUGGCAGAAUCUGGAUUGAGAACACGGGUGAGCUGGGAGGCCACCGAGGCGAUGAUCUGUGUGGCAGGGCAUCAGAAAGGAGGGAGCUACUCAGAGAAAAAGUUCCACAGCUGCUGAAUGAUCCCUUUGAGUCUAUCGACUGUCCAUCGGAGGACACGGAGGAAAAGGAAACUGAACACAGAAAGAAACCCCAGGAAUGGGUGCACACAGAGGAGGGGCAAGUGAGACCCAGAGAAAGGCGUUAUCUGCAAGUGAGCAAGUCCUUGGGCGAAUCAACCCCAAGCACACUAUGGUCUUGGAUGUCCAGCCUCUGGAGCUGCAAGAAAACAAAUGUCUGCCCUUCAGGCUUCUGGGG
ensembl:lncRNA